rnacentral:rRNA from 1 species
CUAGAACUUUAAAUAGGUAGGACGACACGACUGCUUUGUUGAGCCGCGCCACGAAAUCAAGAGCUCCAAGUGGGCCAUUUUUUGUAAGCAAAAUUGGCGAUGUGGCAUGAACCAGAUCUGGGUUACGAUGCCAAACUACGCGCUAACCUAGAUCCCACAAGGGUGUUGGUUGAUUAAGAUAGCAGGACGGUGGUCAUGGAGGUCAAAAUCCUCUAAGGAAUGUGUAACAACUCACCUGCCGGAUAAACUUGCCCUGAAAAUGGAUGGCGCUUAAGCGCGUGACCUACACCCAGCCGUCGGGGCAAGUUCCAGGCCCUGAUGAGUAGGAGGGCGUGGCAGUUGCUGCAAAACCUUGGGUGCGAGCCCGGACGGAGCGGCCGUCGGUGUAAAUAUUGGUGGUAGUAGCAAAUAUUCAAAUGAGAACUUCGAAGCCCGAAGAGGGGAAAUGUUCCAUGUGAACGGCACUUGCACAUGGGUUAGUCGAUCGUAAGGGUCGGGGGAACCCCGACAGAUAGCGCGUUUCGCGCGUACUCUGAAAGAGAAUCGGGUUAAAAUUCCUGAAUCGAGAUGUGGCGGUCGACGAAAAUGUUAGGAAGUCCGGAGAUAUCGGCUGGAGCCUCGGAAAGAGUUAUCUUUUUUGUUUAACAGCCUGCCCACCCUGGAAUCGGCUCAGCCGGAGGUAGGGUUCAGCGGCUGGAAGAGCACCGCACGUCGCGUGGUGUCCGGUGCGCUAUCGGCGGCCCUUGAAAAUCCAGAGGACUGAAUGCCGUCCACGCCAGGUCGUACUCAUAACCGCAUCAGGUCUCCAAGGAGAACAACCUCUGGUCAAUGGAACAAUGUAGGCAUGGAAAGUCGGUAAAAUAGAUCCAUAACUUCUGGAAAAGGAUUGGCUCUGAGGGAUGGGCACGGGGGUCCCAGUCCCAAACCCGUCGGCUGUUGGUGGACUGCUCGAUCUUCUCCCGCGGAGAGAGUGGGUCUCCGCGUGUCGGUCGGGGGACGGAAUGGGAACGGUUCCUUCAGGGGCCUUCCCCGCACGUCGAACAGCCAACUCAAAACUGGUACGGACAAGGGGAAUCCGACUGUUUAAUUAAAACAAAGCAUUGCGAUGGUACCAACAAAUGUUCACGCACUGUGAUUUCUUUCCAGUGCUCUGAAUGUCAAGGUGAAGAAAUUCAACCAAGCGCGGGUAAACGGCGGGAGUAACUAUAACUCUCUUAAGGUAGCCAAAUGCCUCGUCAUCUAAUUAGUGACGCGCAUAAAUGGAUUAACGAGAUUCCCACUAUCCCCAUCUACUAUCCAGCGAAACCACAGCCAAGGGAACGGGCUUGGUAGAAUCAGCGGGGAAAAAAGACCCUGCUGAGCUUGACUCUACUCCGACUUUAUGAAAUGAUUUGAGAGGUGUAGUAUAAGUGGGAGCCGAAAAGCGAAAGUGAAAUACCACUACUUUUAACGUUAUUUUACUUAUUUCAUGAAUCGGAAGCGGGGCACUGCCCCCCUUUUUGUACCUAAGGGAUUCAUAUUGAACAACUGGUAUUCACUUAUAAGGGGUCGUUUGGUAGGAGGGAUAAGGAUAACUAAUCCCGGGAUUAAUUUAAAAGAGAAGUUUAUCCCAUGUUUGGUUGGGACAAAAUGCAUGGGAUAAAACUCAUCCCAGAAUUAGUUAUCCCGGGAUUGUAGUCGCUCUGAGGGCCAAUCCGGGCGGAAGACAUUAUCAGGUGGGGAGUUUGGCAGGGGCGGCACAUCUGUUAAAAGAUAAUGCUGGUGUCCUAAGAUGAAUCUCAACGAGAAUAGAAAUAUCAUCUGGAACAGAUGGGUAAAAGCUCGUUUGAUUCUGAUUACCAGUACGAAUACGAACUAUGAAAGCGUGGCCUAACAAUCUUUUAGACCUUCGGAAUUCGAAGCUAGAGGUGUCAGAAAAGUUACCACAGGGAUAACUGGCUUGUGGCAGCCAAGCGUUCAUAGCGACGUUGCUUUUUUAUCCUUCGAUGUCGGCUCUUCCUAUCAUUGUGAAGCAGAAUUCACCAAGUGUUGGACUGUUCACCUACCAAUAGGGAACAUGAGCUGGGUUUAGACCGUCGUGAGACAGGAUAGUUUUACCCUAUUGAUGACAGUGUCGCAAUAGUAAUUCAACCUAGUACGAGAGGAACUGUUGAUUCACAUAAUUGGUAAUCGCGCUUGAUUGAAAAGCCAGUGGCGCGAAGCUACACCUAGGCAUCGUGGCAUCAAGGCACCGUGGCACCAAGGCACCGUGGCACCAAGGCACCGUGGCACCAUGGCACCGGGCAGCAAGGCACCGUGGCACGAUGGCACUGUGGCACCAUAGCACCGUGGCACCAUGGUACAAAGGCACCAUGGCUCCAUGGCUCCAUGUUACUAAGGCACCGUGGCGCCAUGGCAACAACGCACCUUAGCACCGUGGUACC